rnacentral:rRNA from 1 species
UCGAACGCUUCUUUCCUCCCGAGUGCUUGCACUCAAUUGGAAAGAGGAGUGGCGGACGGGUGAGUAACACGUGGGUAACCUACCCAUCAGAGGGGGAUAACACUUGGAAACAGGUGCUAAUACCGCAUAACAGUUUAUGCCGCAUGGCAUAAGAGUGAAAGGCGCUUUCGGGUGUCGCUGAUGGAUGGACCCGCGGUGCAUUAGCUAGUUGGUGAGGUAACGGCUCACCAAGGCCACGAUGCAUAGCCGACCUGAGAGGGUGAUCGGCCACACUGGGACUGAGACACGGCCCAGACUCCUACGGGAGGCAGCAGUAGGGAAUCUUCGGCAAUGGACGAAAGUCUGACCGAGCAACGCCGCGUGAGUGAAGAAGGUUUUCGGAUCGUAAAACUCUGUUGUUAGAGAAGAACAAGGACGUUAGUAACUGAACGUCCCCUGACGGUAUCUAACCAGAAAGCCACGGCUAACUACGUGCCAGCAGCCGCGGUAAUACGUAGGUGGCAAGCGUUGUCCGGAUUUAUUGGGCGUAAAGCGAGCGCAGGCGGUUUCUUAAGUCUGAUGUGAAAGCCCCCGGCUCAACCGGGGAGGGUCAUUGGAAACUGGGAGACUUGAGUGCAGAAGAGGAGAGUGGAAUUCCAUGUGUAGCGGUGAAAUGCGUAGAUAUAUGGAGGAACACCAGUGGCGAAGGCGGCUCUCUGGUCUGUAACUGACGCUGAGGCUCGAAAGCGUGGGGAGCAAACAGGAUUAGAUACCCUGGUAGUCCACGCCGUAAACGAUGAGUGCUAAGUGUUGGAGGGUUUCCGCCCUUCAGUGCUGCAGCAAACGCAUUAAGCACUCCGCCUGGGGAGUACGACCGCAAGGUUGAAACUCAAAGGAAUUGACGGGGGCCCGCACAAGCGGUGGAGCAUGUGGUUU